rnacentral:rRNA from 1 species
CAAAGGUUUGGUCCUGGCCUUGUGGUCAGUUAUUACUUACUAUACACAUGCAAGUAUCCGCCCCCCUGUGAAAACGCCCUUCAACCCCCAUUAGGGACAAGGAGCCGGUAUCAGGCGCAAAAAUCCGCCCAAGACACCUAGCUACGCCACACCCACAAGGGAAUUCAGCAGUGAUUAACAUUGAGCAUUAGCGCAAGCUUGACUCAGUUAAAGUAAACAGAGCCGGCUAAUCUGGUGCCAGCCGCCGCGGUUACACCACGUGGCUCAAAUUGACCCCCCUCCGGCGUAAAGCGUGAUUAAAGUUUCCACUUACUAGAGUUAAACUAAAACUAAGCUGUGACACGCCUGUUAUCAAGAAACCCAAAAACGAAAGUUACUCUAACACAACCAACUUGAACUCACGACAGCUGGG